GCCGAGGAAGGUUCUCGUCGCUCUCCCUGCUCCCCGCCCCUCUCCCGGGUGCAGCCGCGCUCGGGGGAGGCCCUCCAUCCGCCCUCCGCUGCCGUAGCGCCCUCCUCGGCCUCCCCUCCCCGAUGAAGAACCAGCGGGGACUUCUUUCUCCAGCAGUAGCACUAAAUCCACCAGUCUGACGAGGCUGUGCUCAGCUGCAGGGAGGCAACGUCUCCAGGCUCUGGCCCAGGGCCCCAGUUUGGAAAGGACCUCACUGGAAAGUGUUCUACCGAAAUCUGGUGCAACUCUGAUAAAACGUCCCAGCCCAUCCUGUAAAGACUGUUACUGAAAAAUCUUGAAAUAAUCACAGGGGAAACGACAGGAACUCAGGCCUCCCUUCCCACCCAAGCGAGACACUCCCUGUCUCUUUUUCCCUCCAGCCCACUAAGCACGCAAGGAUCUGAUGGAAAGGGCAAGAGUUUCAGCAGCAGAAAAUCUGAGCCAGAGCCACAGCAAAGGCUGGCUGAGACGGAGCUGCCCCUGUGCCAGUUCCGAGGCAGGAGGGCAGCAGGCUGCUGAGGUGGGGUUGCAGCAGUGUGUUAAGAGUCCACACUAAACUUGUGGGAGUAUGGAAAUGUAGGAUCAAGUUCAGGGAUUGCAGUAGCAGACAAAGGAGGAACAAUUCCUUUGGCCUGAGUGACAUUUCACUUACAUGUGCUAACUGUAAAUCUUAUCUGGAAUCAUGAGAAGCUUUAAUGUGGUUUUCCUCAUGUAUGUUUAAGAACACAUCCAAUUAACAGAAAUACAGCUGCUGAAAUGCCUGUUUUAUAAGAGGGCAGGGCUGAGCAGGUUAAAAAUGUAUAGGACUGGAUUAUAUUAGUCCCUGUUGAUGGGGCUUUCAGCUCUACUGGCCCAAUCCACGUAUCUCUUCUUUCAUCAGUGGGUUAGAUACAAAGAAUCCACUCUCACUAUUUUCUUGAGCAGGUGAAGCUGUUGUGUUUGAUUUUUACCUUGUGGUUUCUAACAAGUCAGUUCCUGGUGAGACAGUCUGAAUCGGGCUCUUGUUUGAUACCAAGAAGGUAAUGAGGCUUAAACUGUACAAACUCUGCAUGCUCUUCUAUUUGCACAGAGUGGUGAUCUGUGGCCAUAUAUAGUGCAGUGCAGUGAAGGUUUUAGGAGCUGUGUUCCUUGCUCCCUUAGAUUCACUGGGGAAAACAAACAAACAAAAACCCUUUAAUCUGUGGAAUUAUACAGUCCAGUGACAGGAGGAUACAAAUGGGAAGUCUGAGGAGAUGAGGUGCCCUCAGCAAGGCUGUUUCAAGGCUUGGUGGCUGGCAUGUACCCCCUUCUCCAGGCGUCCUACUGGACUCUGGUGCCAUCAGCUCUAGUCCCAGGCAGCAGCAGGCCACCGGGGCUUGGGUGGGUUUGCUCCCUGUACCUCUGCAUGGCUCUGGGAUUCAUAACGACAUUCCAGACUCUGAAGAAAGCAUCUAAAGCUUGUUCAGCCUGUAUGGAGGAGCUGAAGUUGCCACAGGGCAGGGAAGGGACCGCCAAGGGAUCUGGACAGUCAUGGGAAAAGCCAUGGUGAGGAGGAACAAGCAGGCCUCGCUUCAGUCUGUGGGAGCCUGCGCUCACUCUUGGCCUGUAAAUGACUUGUGGCAGGCACUGUCAUCCCUUGUGAGACACGGUGGGUGGUGCCGGCCACAUAAAAUACAUCUAAAUCCCAGCUCAGUCCAGACUGUAAAACGGGCUUAAAGUGAAAACAGAUUGAGACCAAGGAAGGAGAGAGCUUCUUAGGCUGCAGACGGCCACCAUUUAGCAGCUCCCUCUGGGCCUGUGUCAGCGGGCCACCCUUGCUCCUGAGCCCUGCUUUGCUCCUCGCCCAGUGCAGGAGCUAUAACGCAGCUCCUGUUAUAACUCGGGCAGUGAUGGGCAGCUGCAGCUGGGCCAGGAGCAGGGAGCUUUGCUGGCACCGCUCUGUGCAGUGCUGCUGUCUGCAGCGCUGGGCCAGCGCCUUAUGGAGACGUUGCCCCUUUUCAGCUGUUCGUUGCCUCUCUGAUGCCAGGGAUGCCCUCGGAUCUGCUGUCAGCUCGGGGCAGGCUCUGCAGGAACGCGCUAAUCCCCUGCAGGAAAGUUCCCGUGGCUCAGUUCAAAUACCCGGUUUGAACUGGUUAAUCUGACCCGGUCGGUCUGUCUGGCGGAGCACCGACACGCUCUGCGCUGCCGCGGGUGAAGGUCGGCUUGAGCUCGAGGGUGGUGACGGAGAGCAGCUGGUUCUGCAGCUUCCAAGAGAGACAUCUGCUCACAGUCUUAAAAUCAUUUAGCCCAAAUCCCGUGCAGUUCAGGGCUGUUUCCUGUGUAGCUUUUAGUGCAUUUUGUCCUUCCUUAGUUUAAAACAGGAUUUCUAUUGUUUGUCUGGUGAGGCUAGUAAAAGCUAGGAGGAUAUUCCUCUUAAAUUACUCCUUUAUAUCUAAUUAUACACCUGGGUAGACAAGUAGUUUGUCCUGAAGAAGCAGAUGGGGUAAAUAUGGGACUGUGUCUGAAUUCUGCAGAGUAACUCACAGAUGCCAUUUUCAGCACGAGCUGCUUUUGCUGCAGCACUGUUCAUCUUGCUCAGGAGAAAUUUCAGGAAGUUGUGCGGAGCAAAAGGUUGCAGCUUGGCUCCUCAUUGUUUUUAUUUCUCCUACUCUUACAUUAAGCAGAAAAACAAGGGAAAAAAUCCUCUCCCUGGGACUCAUUCCCAUGUUUCUCAUGAACUCAGAGUUCCUCUGCCUGGAAUCAAACAUCUAUGAAAUGAAAACUGAAGGAAGAAAGAAUGCACCGGGGAAAGACCAUGUUCAGCGCAGUGCACAUUUUUCAUGCUGGACUGAAAUUUAUUUCUCCUAAUUCCAAAACAUUCAACUUCAGUGCUCAGGAAGAUUCACCUAAAACUGUUUUCAUAUAAAAUAUAAAAAUUAAACUUGGCAGUACUUUUUUCAGUCAUCUAACGUGGUACUUCAUCUCCUGGCCUGGGACGACAUCUGGCUGGCAUGUUCUUCUCCACACCCCAGGAAGAGGACUCUUGUUAGCCGGUUACUGCAGUUCUCAGCAUUAAAACACAAUGAAUCAGACUGCAGAGUAGCAUGAGACUGAUUUAAAAAUAAUGAGAUUUAUGUAUUGAGUUGAGCUUUGAGUUCUUUUUAUUUGCUUUCUGGCUUGGAAACCUUUAGAAUGUGUGAUGAGUAUAUUUUUUGCUUUUCAUCAUGAUUGUGAAUGUUUUAAAAACACACACACAAAAAGCGAGCAGACAAAUUAAAUAGAUCCUUACCUUAUAAUUGAGAAAUCCUGAAUAAAUGAUUUCGGCUUUCACAAUCA